rnacentral:rRNA from 1 species
GAUGAACGCUAGCGGCAGGCCCAACACAUGCAAGUCGAGGGGUAGCAGGAUUAAGCUUGCUUAAUUGCUGACGACCGGCGCGCGGGUGCGUAACGCGUAUGCAACCUACCUUAUACUGGGGUAUAGCCCGGAGAAAUUCGGAUUAAUCCCCCAUAGUACUAAUGAAUCGCAUGGUUUAUUAGUUAAAGCAUUGCGGUAUAAGAUGGGCAUGCGUCCUAUUAGCUAGAUGGUGAGGUAACGGCUCACCAUGGCUACGAUAGGUAGGGGGCCUGAGAGGGUGGUCCCCCACACUGGUACUGAGACACGGACCAGACUCCUACGGGAGGCAGCAGUGAGGAAUAUUGGUCAAUGGGCGCAAGCCUGAACCAGCCAUGCCGCGUGCAGGAAGAAUGCCCUAUGGGUUGUAAACUGCUUUUAUUUGGGAAUAAACCUCUUUACGUGUAGAGAGCUGAAGGUACCAAAUGAAUAAGCACCGGCUAACUCCGUGCCAGCAGCCGCGGUAA